UUCGUCGGCUGUCGGGAGGGAACCAAGGGCAUCGGCGUUGGAUCAGGCCAGCAUCGAUUGUUUGGAGGAGGUGGUUCUUUCUGGGAAGCAGAGACUGGUAUUUUGGUCCCGGCCACCACAGCUCUGUUGGAUCGAUCUCUUCUUCGUAUCAGUGAUCGUCUCCGGUGAUUGAAGGGUGCAGAGAGGAUGCGAUGUGCUUAUUUUAGAUACUGGAUUGGGAAGUGCAGAGAAUCAAGCAAGGGUCAAGGAGUUGCUUCAUGUGGAGGAAUCAAAACUAGAGGAGGAUGAGGGAAAUACCACUCCAGCAGUGAGAUGGGUUCGAGAUGAUAAAUAUGAUUGCAUCCGAUUAAAGCAUUGCAAGGUGAGCUAUAUUCACUGUGUAUCCCCCCUUCAGAGUACAUAUGUAUCUGUAUAGUAAUUAAUUUCAAUAUAGGCACAUCAAAUUACCUUAAUUGUUUCUGGACAUAGACUUAAUCCUUUGGAUUACUUUAUUUUAAUUGGUAGAGUAUUUGCCACUAUAAUUUAUUGCAUCCACAAGGUUUGCUUUGGAUAGCCUGCUCAGGUAGAGUAUUUGCCACUAUAAUUUAUUUUAAUUGGUAGAGUACUCGGGGGCUAAGUA